CCAAAGCCUCCGUCUUCUGCAGAGAAUGUUCUGGAAGCUUUUCAAGACGAAAAUAUUAUGAACCGUUUUGGAAUAACCAAGGGAAAUACUGCAAAUCAGUUCUAUAAAAAAGUGUACGCAUCGAGCUCGUUUGCUUAUUGCAUAUUUUCAUCAGACAAGGUAAUCACCUUGAUGCAAGCCAACAUUCCGGAGCAUAAUAGGCAUUAUUUAAUUGAUGCUACAUUUAAAGUGUGCCCUUUUGGAGAUUUUAAGCAACUUUUAAUAAUUUAUAUUAAAUAUUUGCAGAAGAUAACCCCUUUUGUUUUUGUUUUGAUGACUCGCAAAACGGAGCUGUGUUAUCAGCACUUAUUCACAUAUAUAGACUCGAACAUUUGCUGCCUUAAAGGAGCAUCCUUUAUAUCAGAUUACGAAAAGGCAAUGCGUAACGCGUUAAAAGGUCUGCAUCCCAACAUGAAUUUUUACGCCUGUUGGUUUCAUUUUACUCAAGCAUGCAAGAAAAAUGCCAAGCAAUCGAGUGGUUUUGAAAAUACGCUGAAAUGCAAUAAGAAAGCUUACAUGCUAUUUAUGAAAUUUUUGCACUUGCCGCUUUUACCAGAAAGCAAAAUUGUCGAAGCAUUUAACCUUCUAAAAGGCGAAGCAAUAAACUUAAAUAAGAAGCUGUUUUCUCCAUUUUUAAAAUAUUUUAAUAGACAGUGGCUUAAAAAGGAGGGACCAAAAAGCAUAUCCGUGUUUAAGAGGUCAACUAGAACCACGAGCUCAGUAGAAGCUUAUAAUUUGAAUUUGGGAAAUAAAAUUCGAGCAAAUGGGCACUUUUUUAAAUUUGUUCAAUGUCUUAUUGAUGCAGAAUAUGAAAAAAGUCGCGAGUUUGCUUUACUCUUUCAAAAUGGUGGUAAUGGAAAUCAGACACAGAAGAAGAAAUUACG